GACGAACCGUGCGAACGUUAUUCGGAAUCACUGGGCUUAAAGCGCGUGUAGGCGGGCCGGCACGUCGGUCGCUGAAAUCCCCCGGCUCAACCGGGGAAGGGGCGCCGAUACGACCGGCCUGGAGGGGCGUAGGGGGACCUGGAACUUCCGGUGGAGCGGUGAAAUGCGUUGAGAUCGGAAGGAACGCCCGUGGCGAAAGCGAGGUCCUGGACGCCAUCUGACGCUGAGACGCGAAAGCCAGGGGAGCGAACGGG
rnacentral:ncRNA from 2 species